rnacentral:rRNA from 1 species
UGAGUAACGCGUGGGAAUCUACCGUGCCCUGCGGAAUAGCUCCGGGAAACUGGAAUUAAUACCGCAGACGCCCUACGGGGGAAAGAUUUAUCGGGGUAUGAUGAGCCCGCGUUGGAUUAGCUAGUUGGUGGGGUAAAGGCCUACCAAGGCGACGAUCCAUAGCUGGUCUGAGAGGAUGAUCAGCCACAUUGGGACUGAGACACGGCCCAAACUCCUACGGGAGGCAGCAGUGGGGAAUAUUGGACAAUGGGCGCAAGCCUGAUCCAGCCAUGCCGCGUGAGUGAUGAAGGCCUUAGGGUUGUAAAGCUCUUUCACCGGAGAAGAUAAUGACGGUAUCCGGAGAAGAAGCCCCGGCUAACUUCGUGCCAGCAGCCGC